GGGCCCGUAGCUUAGCCCGGCAGAGCGCCCAUGGACAAGCCCGGCUGGGCUGUCCAGCGUAAGGCUCAUAACCGGGAAGUCCCGGGUUCAAAUCCCGGCGGGCCCA
rnacentral:tRNA from 1 species